rnacentral:sRNA from 1 species
CAGCUGUUACCGCAACGCCCCAGCCGUAACAGGCGCCGGGUUCAUCGGUAACGAGAACGCG